AGCAUACCUCAGGAGAACAUUCCUUUAAUUAAAGUUGUUCUUGUAAGUGAAUUUUGUAUAUUUUAUAACAUCUAGAUAGAAUGUUUGUGAUGUUACUCUGAGUGUGAAUCCACUCCGGGCAAGCUGAAAAGUUAGCUUGGCCACGGUGGGAAUUGAACCUGCGAUCUUUGGGAUACUAGUCCAAUGCUCUGCCAAAUAAGCUACAUGGUCAAGUCGGUUCGAGUUGAUGAUAUUUCGGAACUGAGUCUAGUUCCUUCUAUAUCAGUGUAUUCUAUAUGAUUAUUUUUUAUGUGUGUUGGUGUUAUGUACUCAGGUGAUGUACUCAGUAUGACAAAAAAUAAUCAGACAUAUAGAAUACACUGAUAUAGAAGGAACUAGACUCAGUUCCGAAAUAUCAUCAACUCGAACCGACUUGGCACAUAGCUCAGUUGGCAGAGCAUUGGACUAGUAUCCCAAAGGUCUCGGGUUCGAUUCCCACCGUGGCCAAGCUAACUUUUCAGCUUGCUCGGUGUGGAUUCACACUCAGAGUAACAUCACAAACAUCAUAUUCACUGAGUACAUAACCCCAACACACAAAAAAAAUAAUCUAGAUAGAAAUUAUGAAGUGAUGUAUAUUUUUGUAGUGUAACUACAGGAGAAGAAGUACAAUAUUUAGACAAAAGUGUAAGUUGUGCAUGAAAUGCUUAUUUCACUCAGUUAUAUAUUUCCUUGUUGCAGGAUGAUUCUGAAAUUGCUCCCAAAAUAUCAGGAUGCUCAACCCCUCGUCUAUUGGCCACUGGACCUCUGGAAGAGAUAAGUUCGAUUUCAUUGAUUGCAGAGGGAAUGGUUGUAAAAAAUUCAGAUACGAUCCGUGCAAUAUUACCAACGCAGUGGCACGUUUGCUUGCAGGGUACUACGUUUUAACAUGCAGUACCCAAAAGGGGCCAACAGGUCAUAGUAAGAACAUUUACAUGUUUUAGUAAUUUAGAACAUGUUCUUUUGGCCAAUAAUUGCCAUACCGGUACUUUACCAAUUGACGUGGAGAACUUCCUAAGCUAAAGGAUUUUAUGAACACAUUAAAUGGAACAAUUUAUGCUAAUGAAUUUAUGAUAAUAUUGUAUCACUAAUUUAAUGCAUGUAUUGUACAUGCAGGAUAUAUUGUCCCGAGGAGAGUUAUGACCCUCACAAUCAUGGGCUAUUUCUGUGAAUGUUUCUAUAUAGUAUAACUCUAAACUAUAUAUAGCUUACAAGCUUACAAUUAUAUAUAUAGCUUACAAGCUUACAAUUGUGUGAGAUAACCAUUGUUUCUUCUAUAUAUGAAGAGCUUUUUACUUUCACAAUAUAAUAUGAUGACCGCAUGACAUCAAACUCUGCUCCACUUCCACUUUACUGUUUUGCAAUUGUCGCACACUGGACCUCAAUUAUCUCAUAGAUUAUUUUAAUUAUAUAUUGUAUAUAAGACUUAUCCAUUCCUUAAGAAAAAUAUAUGAUUUUUAUCAAAGUACUGAAAUUGUUUUAAUAUUUACUAAUUUGACUUUGAGUCAAAUAUUGAUUUUAAC